GCGGUUGUAGCUGCCCGGCGGGGGCAGAAGCGGCGCUCGCGCCAAGGGACGUGUUUCUGCGCUCGCGUGGUCAUGGAGGCGCUGCCGCUGCUAGCCGCGACAACUCCGGACCACGGCCGCCACCGAAGGCUGCUUCUGCUGCCGCUACUGCUGUUCCUGCUGCCGGCUGGAGCUGUGCAGGGCUGGGAGACAGAGGAGAGGCCCCGGACUCGCGAAGAGGAGUGCCACUUCUACGCGGGUGGACAAGUGUACCCGGGAGAGGCAUCCCGGGUAUCGGUCGCCGACCACUCCCUGCACCUAAGCAAAGCGAAGAAAGUCUGUAAGCUUCACCAGACUGCCAAAGAGAUCUAAAGUUUCCAAGCCAGCGCCCUACUGGGAAGGAACAGCUGUGAUCGAUGGAGAAUUUAAGGAGCUGAAGUUAACUGAUUAUCGUGGGAAAUACUUGGUUUUCUUCUUCUACCCACUUGAUUUCACAUUUGUGUGUCCAACUGAAAUUAUUGCUUUUGGCGACAGACUUGAAGAAUUCAGAUCUAUAAAUACUGAAGUGGUAGCAUGCUCUGUUGAUUCACAGUUUACCCAUUUGGCCUGGAUUAAUACCCCUCGAAGACAAGGAGGACUUGGGCCAAUAAGGA
rnacentral:sRNA from 1 species